AGAGUUUGAUCAUGGCUCAGAUUGAACGCUGGCGGCAGGCCUAACACAUGCAAGUCGAGCGGUAGCACAGAGAGCUUGCUCUCGGGUGACGAGCGGCGGACGGGUGAGUAAUGUCUGGGAAACUGCCUGAUGGAGGGGGAUAACUACUGGAAACGGUAGCUAAUACCGCAUAAUGUCGAAAGACCAAAGUGGGGGACCUUCGGGCCUCAUGCCAUCAGAUGUGCCCAGAUGGGAUUAGCUAGUAGGUGGGGUAACGGCUCACCUAGGCGACGAUCCCUAGCUGGUCUGAGAGGAUGACCAGCCACACUGGAACUGAGACACGGUCCAGACUCCUACGGGAGGCAGCAGUGGGGAAUAUUGCACAAUGGGCGCAAGCCUGAUGCAGCCAUGCCGCGUGUGUGAAGAAGGCCUUCGGGUUGUAAAGCACUUUCAGCGGGGAGGAAGGCGGUGAGGUUAAUAACCUCAUCGAUUGACGUUACCCGCAGAAGAAGCACCGGCUAACUCCGUGCCAGCAGCCGCGGUAAUACGGAGGGUGCAAGCGUUAAUCGGAAUUACUGGGCGUAAAGCGCACGCAGGCGGUCUGUCAAGUCGGAUGUGAAAUCCCCGGGCUUAACCUGGGAACUGCAUUCGAAACUGGCAGGCUAGAGUCUUGUAGAGGGGGGUAGAAUUCCAGGUGUAGCGGUGAAAUGCGUAGAGAUCUGGAGGAAUACCGGUGGCGAAGGCGGCCCCCUGGACAAAGACUGACGCUCAGGUGCGAAAGCGUGGGGAGCAAACAGGAUUAGAUACCCUGGUAGUCCACGCCGUAAACGAUGUCGAUUUGGAGGUUGUGCCCUUGAGGCGUGGCUUCCGGAGCUAACGCGUUAAAUCGACCGCCUGGGGAGUACGGCCGCAAGGUUAAAACUCAAAUGAAUUGACGGGGGCCCGCACAAGCGGUGGAGCAUGUGGUUUAAUUCGAUGCAACGCGAAGAACCUUACCUGGUCUUGACAUCCACAGAACUUUCCAGAGAUGGAUUGGUGCCUUCGGGAACUGUGAGACAGGUGCUGCAUGGCUGUCGUCAGCUCGUGUUGUGAAAUGUUGGGUUAAGUCCCGCAACGAGCGCAACCCUUAUCCUUUGUUGCCAGCGGUUCGGCCGGGAACUCAAAGGAGACUGCCAGUGAUAAACUGGAGGAAGGUGGGGAUGACGUCAAGUCAUCAUGGCCCUUACGACCAGGGCUACACACGUGCUACAAUGGCAUAUACAAAGAGAAGCGACCUCGCGAGAGCAAGCGGACCUCAUAAAGUAUGUCGUAGUCCGGAUUGGAGUCUGCAACUCGACUCCAUGAAGUCGGAAUCGCUAGUAAUCGUAGAUCAGAAUGCUACGGUGAAUACGUUCCCGGGCCUUGUACACACCGCCCGUCACACCAUGGGAGUGGGUUGCAAAAGAAGUAGGUAGCUUAACCUUCGGGAGGGCGCUUACCACUUUGUGAUUCAUGACUGGGGUGAAGUCGUAACAAGGUAACCGUAGGGGAACCUGCGGUUGGAUCACCU
rnacentral:rRNA from 1 species